GGCCGCCUGGCGAAAUGGCAUCGCGUCUGACUACGAUUCAAUUUCACUGUCUUGUAAUCGGAAUCAGGAGAUUGCAGGUUCGACCCCUGCGGUGGUCA